AUCAGAUUGUCUCUCUUCUUAUCUGACUGUCCUUUUCGCCUCUUCAGACCAUCGGUGCCACUCCAAUUUCGCUUUCGUUCGGGGAUCAUCCAUCCCUUCGACUGUUCCAUUGCUUGGUCGCCCUCCACUCCGUCCCUUCGGGCGGUUCAGCCUCUCAAACUUUGUCAUUCUCUCAAUCUAUCACUAUCUAUAGCGUGGCAACCCGUAGAGGCUGGCGGGCCCAAGGAACGAGUCCAGCGGCAGCAUAAUCUCGAAGCAUAGCGGUUGUACUCGUGACCAAGAAGCUCCUGAAGAGCACGGGAAAGGCACCGUGGAUCGCCUGCACGGCCUUCCUGAUCCUGUGUGGUCCGCCCCCUCAGGCGCCAUGGACGAUGUCAGAGCAAGCUCGGCUUGGGUCACCAGCCACGACUCCCACGUGCUCGUCGACUCCAUGUCAAUGAUGCAUCUUUGGGGGAGGUGUACUUCUUGCUGGGAUUGAGAGAAUCGUGGAGAAUAUUGGCCCUAUUCCAAAGUGAAUUGGGAUUACCAGGGAUUCACUAUUUCGACAAUGUCCUCCGCUCACGGUUCAGUACCCGUUUGUGUUCGGUGCCUUAAAGUUUUGAUUUUGGCUUGAUUCCAUAACUGAGUUUGAGUGAUUUGGGUAACCCAUUAGCAGCCAAAAGGGUGAAAUAGUGAGGGCAUAAAUAUCCCCCCAAAAAUCCGACGUUGAGAACUCAAGGCUGCAUUUCAUAGGAACCUGGAUCGAUACCGUGAGCGUUUUUCCAGCUUGUAUAAUGGGUUUAAGCCCCACAACUUCCAAUAUUGAAGCCUCUGCUCAAAAGACUGCCGUUGUUUAUGUUGACAUGGCAAUCUCCAUGCCCUACUGUCAACAAUGAACAAACAAAACAAUCUUAACAUUCAGACAAAGAAGAUAUCAUAUCAAACCUCAAGGGGGUUAAUAGCCGAGAAAAUAUCAUGUUCCAGACUUUGUUUUGCGUUCUUGUAGAACUGCUUUUUAUACUUUUGCAUGUUUAUAUCAACCGUUUAUAC